CAACUCCUUUUGUUAAUUAAUUACAAUUCAAAUACAUUUCAAUCAAAAUAGAGUAGUCAAAGUUUUAACUUUUAAACAUUCAGUUUGUUAGUUUUUUAAUAAUAUAUAGAGUAUAUGUUAUUUAUGUAACAAUAUACUUCGGUAUGGUAUUCGGUAUGUUAUUUCUAAAUAUCAAAUACCAUAUCGAAUACUAAAUAAAAUUAAAAUGUGUAUCAUAUACCACACCACAUACCAUUAUACCAAAAUCAUGAUAUUAAAAUUUUCGAUAUGAUAUGAUAUUUAAAGUAUACCAUACCAUGCCCAUCCCUAAAACAGACAGCAAAACAUGAGAUAUUCUCCAUAAUAUUCACCACAAUUCUUAACUUUAACUUUUUCAAAAAAUAAAUAAAUAAAAAGAUAUUCACCACAAUUCUAUCCAAAGCCACCCAACCCCACCACCAAAAGAAGGCUAAUAAAUGUGUUUAUUUUUAACCUCUUGGGGCCCACAAAACAUCAAUCACUAAGCAUAGUGUGUGACAGGAAUAUAACAAGUAGAGAAGUAUGAAAAAAUACUCUAAAAAAUCAAUAUAUUAACUAGUGAAACAUAGUCUGACAAGAACAAACAUCAAAAUCCUACUAUACAUUCCUUAAAAAACAAUUUUUUUCUCCCCUCAAUUCUUUCUUUUGUCCAUUAAGCUAUUGGAAUCCAGAAAAAUCUCAUGAUUCUUUAUAUGUUAAUGGUGCUCAUAAGUCAUAAUGUCCAAUAGUAUAUGGUCAAGUCCAACUGUUUCAGCUUCACUGCAUCAAGAAACUGUUUUUUCAAAAUACUCUUUUUCAAACUCAGGUUUAAAAUCUUCCACCACAGAUUUAGGCAAUGGUACUAUAAUCCACUGGUGGAUUCCCAAAACCCACAAAGAAUAAAAGCUCUCUUUAGUCCUCAUACAUGGAAUUGGAGCAAAUGCUAUGUGGCAAUGGAGUGAGUUCAUCAAACCCUUAUCAUCAAGAUUCAAUCUUUAUGUCCCUGGCUUCUUGUUUUUUGGUGAAUUUUACACUUCUAGGACAGAAAAAACUGAAUUAUUUCAGGCUGAGUGUGUUAUGAGGACUAUGGAGGGUUAUGCGGUUAAGAAAAAUGGCUGUUGUAGGGUUGAGUUAUGGUGGUUUUGUGGGGUAUAGUAUGGCUGUUCAGUUUCCUGAGGUAGUGGAGAGACUGGUUCUUGUGUGUUGUGGUGUUUGUUUUGAGGAAAAAGAUAUAAACAAUGGGAUGUUUCAAGUGAAGAGUGUUGAUGAGGCUGUUCCAAUUUUGUUGCCACAGAGUCCUGAAAAGUUGAGAGAGUUGGUGAAAUUGUCUUUUUAUAAGCCUAUCAAGAAGCUUCCUUCUUGUUUCCUCAAUGAUUUUAUUGAUGUGAUGUGCACAGUUAAUCAUCAAGAAAGAAAGGAGUUGAUCGAAACAUUACACAAUAACAGAAAGCUCUCUGAUCUUCCUAAGAUUACUCAGCCUACGUUGAUAAUAUGGGGAGAAUAUGAUCAGAUAUUCCCACUUGAAUUGGCUCACAGAUUAAAAAGGCAUCUAAGUGAGAACGCGGAACUUGUUAUAAUAAAAGAUGCAGGACAUGCAAUUAACAUGGAGAAACCAAAGGAGCUUUUCAAACAGUUGAAGUCAUUCCUUCUUGAUUCGCGCCCUCUGCCCUCAUACUAAACACGACAGUAAUGGCAAUAGCCACAAGCUGGAUUAAAACGCCUGAAGACGACAUUACACUGAGAGGACCUUUUUUCCUGGUAAUUUGGCUGAAUCUCUUGGUUAUCUAACUUCAUUGCAUUUAUUUGUCACUUGGUUCUUGCAAUCUCUCGGUGCCGAUUCAUGAGCACACCUGCACAGAGUAUUUGUUCUUUGAAGGUAGUUAGUUCCCUGAACGGAACAAUACGAUCCUGGAUAUUAUCCUUUCCAUCACUAACUUAUUUCGGCUCAAAGUUUUAAGUUGCAUGGUACUCUUCCUAAGUCAAUUCAAAACUUUAUGAACCUAACGCGACUUGAUCUUAAGUUACAGUUUACGAAACCUCAAUCUUGGGUAGAGGACUGUGCAAUUGGUUAAAACUCGGUUUAAAUAACUUAGUGAUGGAAGGGAGAAUAUCCAGGAUGGUAUUGUUCCGUUCAGGGAGUUCCCUUUAAUGAACAAAUACUCUGUGUGGGUGAAAUUCGAGAGAGAUUCAAGAAUAGACCCCGAGAGAUUGGAAGAAUCAAGCGAGAAAUAAUGCAAUGAAGUUAGAUAGAUAGGCGUUUGAUUAUAGAAAUCAAAUAUUUGAAAUUUUUGAAGAUGGAGUUGCGUUUGGUUAUAGUUUUUGUAAAGAUUUUUUAUUUUAUUAAAUGUACUUUUUCUAUCGAGAUAUGAUUUUAACGUACAAUCAGAUCUGUUUUAAGAGAGUAAUAUCUCAUAAUAGAUAGUCACGUAUAAAUUGAAUGUCAUAUUCUUUUAAUACCCAAAA